UCCGGCUGAAGACAGAAGACCGACCUGGGAGCCCUGAAGAGAGAAGAGCCCCCUGGGCAAAGCCGAACUCCUGGCUAGGUUGCCUGGGUGAAGAGUCGUUGUCUACCUUGUUCCCAAUCCUGGCCAGCUGGCUCAGAACAAGAGUUGUGGAGCGCAUCGGCAGCGCGGAGGAGUUUACUGUGGACUCGUGACGUCUCCGGGAUUGAUUUGGUGGGCAGCCCUUUAAUCAGUUGUGGCGGGUGUCUCUCUCUGGCACAUGAACUACGCGGCGCACAAACACCGGCUGCCGUCACUGCCCCCAGCGCAUUGAGACGCGGCUGCGCGGUGGGGAACGCGCGCCCCGAGCAGGACGAGAGCUCCUCCUGCCGCGCCUCGCCGAGCGGUCACUGAUGCCCGUGUAAAGUUCGCGUCCACCACGGGUACACGGAUCUCCGUUUGAAUGGUAACUCGUGGUGGUGGUGGACGCACGUGGAACACGGUGCGGACUCGGCUCACCGCACUCGCCCCUCGUCGUCCGAUGAUCAGCGCAACAUAAUCACUGCCGGGAGUUGGAAUCGAAGCAGCAACCCCAGUGUCAGAGGCCCAUGUCGCCGACCCCUCACAUGAACAUCACUAGCCCCGCCCACUUCGUUUGUGACCCUUGGGCUACGCUCAUCCUAAACCUUUAAUAAAAUGUUAAAAUACUUUUUUAAAAACACGCUUUAAUAAAAUGUACUGUCCGAGCUGCCCCUUCCCCUGCCCCCUUCCCCCAUCGCCCCUCCCCUCCUUCCACACCCCCCGCCCCUGGGCGUGGCUCCCCGAGGCUUUCCGUGACGUAAGGGACCACGUAGUGAUUUAAAAGCAACGUCAGUUAAGCGUUGACAAUUAGAGCCGUAAAAAUAUCAUUUAAAAUAUUUUUAUUUUAUUUUUAAUGAUAGAAUAUAGUAUUGUCAUCAGUAUGACAUAGCUAUACGAAGUUUGCAGUCGAUAGCACAUUGGGAAGUGUGUAAAAAUUGAGUUACAAGAUUUAUUUUUUGAGGAUACAACAGACGAAGUGAGUUAAAUAAAAGCGUGUAAUAAUAAUAAAAACAGCGCGCCUUCAGUCGCUUUCACCCUCUGAUUUCUUCCUGAUGACGAUCGCUUGUGUUGCGGUCGAAACGUAGUUUUUUGUCGAUUUUAUUUUGUUAAUUUGAACCUAUCUAUGUGACUUUACCGAAAGACCCAAAGAAUAUGAAUUCCUGCAGUCACGAAAACUUUCAGUCAACACACACCCACUGCUGGUAGAACACACACAUAGAGACGCCUUAGCCCAAGGGCAGAGCACGAAGCAUCCCUCUCCAUUAAGAGCCACGUCCACCAUCAUCACCAGCACCACCACCGCUCACGCAUUGCCGCCUCACCUUGAUCCCGCGCCGCGAGCCGGGACUCGAACCGGGGUCUGGUCAAGUCGGAAGCGACGCUCGUGGCCGUUCCUGUUCCGCUCCGUUCUGUAGCGACCUCCAGCGAGCAGCGAGCAGCGAGCACACCUGUGCAUCGCUCACCUGGCUAGAGACGACAACCCACUUGAGCAGGGGUGAUUGAACACCUGGGGAGGGAUGAUAGCACACCUGGGUAGGGAUGAUG